UGGGGAAUAUUGGACAAUGGGCGAAAGCCUGACGCAGCAACGCCGCGUGAGUGAUGAAGGCCUUCGGAUUGUAAAGCUCUUUUGGCGGGGACGAUAAUGACGGUACCCGCAGAAUAAGCCCCGGCUAACUUCGUGCCAGCAGCCGCGGUAAUACGAAGGGGGCUAGCGUUGUUCGGAAUCACUGGGCGUAAAGCGCACGUAGGCGGAUUUGUUAGUCAGGGGUGAAAUCCCGGGGCUCAACCUCGGAACUGCCCUUGAUACUGCAAAUCUCGAGUCCGAUAGAGGUGAGUGGAAUUCCUAGUGUAGAGGUGAAAUUCGUAGAUAUUAGGAAGAACACCAGUGGCGAAGGCGGCUCACUGGAUCGGUACUGACGCUGAGGUGCGAAAGCGUGGGGAGCAAACAGGAUUAGAUACCCCUGUAGUCCCUGAGCGGGCUGGCAAGGCGCAU
rnacentral:rRNA from 1 species